CCCUUAUCCCCUCCCUCUCUUGGCCUAUAAACUUGCCGGGGUAGUGGGGGUUAAUCAGAGAGGAAUUAUGAGCCAACAUCCCCAGCAGGAGGUGCAUUUAAUGAAAUCACUUGUGAUUUAUGUCUGGGGGAGGUUGGAGAAGGAAGAAUCUGGAACCCAGACAUCCUGCUUCUAGAAAGGUACCGCCCCCCCAGUGCAAAAGAGGAGGAAGCAAAGCAGAAAGAGGGACCCAAGGCCUUUACUGCCACCCCACAGCCCCUGCAAAGCCACACACACCCUGGCAGGAGCCACAAGGGUAGCUGCACAAGGCCAUCGCCACAGAGGCUGCCAGACUUAAAGUGCUUCUGAGGAGUGUAGUGUGCCAGUGCCUGACACGGGGCGCUCAGGGGAGAGUAAUUGACUGCACAGGCAGGGAAGGAAGACAGCUGGGUUCCCAUCAGAGUUUUCUCCAGCUCAUGGUGGCCGUCAGCCAAUGAAAACUUAGGAUGCGCUCACCACCAGCAGCCAAUCCCAGUGAAGGAUGAGCCGAACUGCCAGGCCUAAUUGCAUCUUGAUUGGUUGUGAUGUUGCUAGGCAGAAAUGAGGUCCCGGAGAUCGCUGCGGGCAAGACCGGAGAGACAGGAAACGAGAAAUCUUGUCCCACGUUCUUCUUUCACAUCGCAAGACUCAAAGAGCAAGAGAUUUCCCUGCAGAAUGGCCCCUCCACAACCACCCAAGGAUGCCCUGCAGACCGCGCCAAGGUCGAGGCGGCCAUAUAGUGGC
ensembl:lncRNA